AUUGAACGCUGGCGGCAGGCCUAACACAUGCAAGUCGAGCGGAUGAGAAGAGCUUGCUCUUCGAUUCAGCGGCGGACGGGUGAGUAAUGCCUAGGAAUCUGCCUGGUAGUGGGGGACAACGUUUCGAAAGGAACGCUAAUACCGCAUACGUCCUACGGGAGAAAGCAGGGGACCUUCGGGCCUUGCGCUAUCAGAUGAGCCUAGGUCGGAUUAGCUAGUUGGUGAGGUAAUGGCUCACCAAGGCUACGAUCCGUAACUGGUCUGAGAGGAUGAUCAGUCACACUGGAACUGAGACACGGUCCAGACUCCUACGGGAGGCAGCAGUGGGGAAUAUUGGACAAUGGGCGAAAGCCUGAUCCAGCCAUGCCGCGUGUGUGAAGAAGGUCUUCGGAUUGUAAAGCUCUUUUGUCAGGGAAGAAACGGUGAGUUCUAAUACAGCUUGCUAAUGACGGUACCUGAAGAAUAAGCACCGGCUAACUACGUGCCAG
rnacentral:rRNA from 1 species